GAUGAACGCUGGCGGCGUGCCUAAUACAUGCAAGUCGAGCGCACGGAUAAGGAGCUUGCUCCUUUGAAGUUAGCGGCGGACGGGAGAGUAACACGUGGGUAACCUACCUAUAAGACUGGAAUAACUUCGGGAAACCGGAGCUAAUGCCGGAUAACAUAUAGAACCGCAUGGUUCUAUAGUGAAAGAUGGUUUUGCUAUCACUUAUAGAUGGACCCGCGCCGUAUUAGCUAGUUGGUAAGGUAAUGGCUUACCAAGGCGACGAUACGUAGCCGACCCGAGAGGGUGAUGGGCCACACUGGAACUGAGACACGGUCCAGACUCCUACGGGAGGCAGCAGUAGGGAAUCUUCCGCAAUGGGCGAAAGCCUGACGGAGCAACGCCGCGUGAGUGAUGAAGGUUUUCGGAUCGUAAAACUCUGUUAUUAGGGAAGAACAAAUGCGUAAGUAACUGUGCGCAUCUUGACGGUACCUAAUCAGAAAGCCACGGCUAACUACGUGCCAGCAGCCGCAGUAA
rnacentral:rRNA from 1 species